rnacentral:misc_RNA from 1 species
AGUGAAUGUCUUCACUGACCUGCACUAAAAGCCAAAACAAAAACUUUUCUAAUGAAGAAGCACUAGCAGCAACAAAUAACUUGCCACCAAGUCAGUAACAGAAUUUUAUAAUUACAGCAGCCAGUUAACAUAGGUUGAUUAAGAAUUCAUCAGCGUUACUCAACCAAAUUUUUUCAGCUAAGAAUUCACCCUGCAAAAAAUUCCAUUUUUUAGAACUGCCACUUGGAAAAUCUUCUUCAGUUUUCCUCCUACUACUAAUCAAAUGAAAUCCCGAAUUUUUUCUAAAAAAAAAAAACU